CGGGUGCCGCUUCCGGCUACGCUCGGAGGUCGCGCAGGUUGGAGGCCUCGGUCGGACGGGAGGCAGCGGCAGCAUCCAGUAGCCACUUGGAAUUAUGAUUCAAGGAAGCUGUGCCUCAGCUCAGCAUUGGGAUCCACCCUCAAGGACUGGCUCAAAGGCAGUGUUCAACUCAUGGGACUUACUUUGAAAAGCAGAUUCUUUACCAGCUGAGCCACCAGGGAAGCCCAAGAAUACUGGAGUGAAUAGCCUAUCCCUUCUCCAGGGGAUCUUCCCAACCCAGGAAUUGAACCGGGGUCUCCUGCAUUGCAGGUGGAUUCUUU